GACGAACGCUGGCGGCGUGCUUAACACAUGCAAGUCGAACGGAAAGGCCUCUUUCGAGGGGUACUCGAGUGGCGAACGGGUGAGUAACACGUGAGUAACCUGCCCUUGACUUUGGGAUAACUUCAGGAAACUGGGGCUAAUACCGGAUAGGAGCUCCUGCUGCAUGGUGGGGGUUGGAAAGUUUCGGCGGUUGGGGAUGGACUCGCGGCUUAUCAGCUUGUUGGUGGGGUAGUGGCUUACCAAGGCUUUGACGGGUAGCCGGCCUGAGAGGGUGACCGGCCACAUUGGGACUGAGAUACGGCCCAGACUCCUACGGGAGGCAGCAGUGGGGAAUAUUGCACAAUGGGUGGAAGCCUGAUGCAGCAACGCCGUGUGCGGGAUGACGACCUUCGGGUUGUAAACCGCUUUCGCUCAUGACGAAGCUUUGUGUGACGGUAGUGGGUAAAGAAGCACCGGCUAACUACGUG
rnacentral:rRNA from 1 species